AGUGAACGCUGGCGGUAGGCCUAACACAUGCCAGUCGAACGGCAGCACAGUAAGAGCUUGCUCUUACGGGUGGCGAGUGGCGGACGGGUGAGGAAUACAUCGGAAUCUACUUUUUCGUGGGGGAUAACGUAGGGAAACUUACGCUAAUACCGCAUACGACCUACGGGUGAAAGCAGGGGAUCUUCGGACCUUGCGCGAUUGAAUGAGCCGAUGUCGGAUUAGCUAGUUGGCGGGGUAAAGGCCCACCAAGGCGACGAUCCGUAGCUGGUCCGAGAGGAUGAUCAGCCACACUGGAACUGAGACACGGUCCAGACUCCUACGGGAGGCAGCAGUGGGGAAUAUUGGACAAUGGGCGCAAGCCUGAUCCAGCCAUACCGCGUGGGUGAAGAAGGCCUUCGGGUUGUAAAGCCCUUUUGUUGGGAAAGAAAAGCAGCAGGUUAAUACCCCGCUGUUCUGACGGUACCCAAAGAAUAAGCACCGGCUAACUUCGUG
rnacentral:rRNA from 1 species